GUGGAAUUCCUUGGGACCAGCCCUUCGAAUUACUGUUCGCACUAUUUAUUGUGGUGCUGCUGCUAUUGAUGAAGUGAACUACGACGGGAAGGAAAGAAUAGCCGGGGAUGCACACUAAGAUAUCAAAAAACGGGGAAAUUUGUUACAACAAAGAAUAACAUUAAAUAAAAAAGAACUAAUAAUAAGUCUUGACAAUGGUCAAUCUAUGUAAUAGAAAGUUAUUAACGAUAACACAGCGUUGAAAAUGAGCUAUAAUCACUGUACCCACAAUGGAUGUGCAUUAUGUUGUACUGUUUUCUUUCUUUUUCUUUUUAGAUUUGAUCGAUUCUUUGUGAAAAUUAUUGAUAAUCUCAUAUAAUCCUUCAUUUCUUCGACAACAUAAAAGCACAUCCUGUGGUUGAACCGUUUUCCGUCCUGCAUGUCUAUUAUUUUGUUAAUAAGAUUAAAAUAUUUAUUUCCAUCAAGAGCGUACUCUGCAAAAGCCUCAAUGUCUUUAGCUAAUACACGUAUUUGUUCCCAAACCAUUUCGGUAACUCCAACACAAAAAAGCUCAUCUACAAUGACAUUUCUUGACUCUGAUUCAGUUAAUUCAGAAGCUGUACGAUUACAAACUUCUUGUGUAACGUGAAAAAUCUCUGCUUUGAAUCUCUCCUAGAAUACCAGUUAGCCAA